rnacentral:rRNA from 1 species
CCUACGGGUGGCAGCAGUGGGGAAUAUUGGACAAUGGGCGAAAGCCUGAUCCAGCCAUGCCGCGUGUGUGAAGAAGGCCUUCGGGUUGUAAAGCACUUUCAGUGGGGAAGAAAGCCUUGGGGCUAAUACCCUCGAGGAAGGACAUCACCCACAGAAGAAGCACUGGCUAACUCCGUGCCAGCAGCCGCGGUAAUACGGAGGGUGCGAGCGUUAAUCGGAAUUACUGGGCGUAAAGCGCGCGUAGGCGGUCUGAUAAGCCGGUUGUGAAAGCCCCGGGCUCAACCUGGGAACGGCAUCCGGAACUGUCAGGCUAGAGUGCAGGAGAGGAAGGUAGAAUUCCCGGUGUAGCGGUGAAAUGCGUAGAGAUCGGGAGGAAUACCAGUGGCGAAGGCGGCCUUCUGGACUGACACUGACGCUGAGGUGCGAAAGCGUGGGGAGCAAACAGGAUUAGAUACCCUAGUAGUC